CCUACGGGGGGCAGCAGUGGGGAAUAUUGCACAAUGGGCGCAAGCCUGAUGCAGCGACGCCGCGUGAGGGAUGACGGCCUUCGGGUUGUAAACCUCUUUCAGUAGGGAAGAAGCUUUCGGGUGACGGUACCUGCAGAAGAAGCGCCGGCUAACUACGUGCCAGCAGCCGCGGUAAUACGUAGGGCGCAAGCGUUGUCCGGAAUUAUUGGGCGUAAAGAGCUCGUAGGCGGUUUGUCGCGUCUGCUGUGAAAUCCCCAGGCUCAACUUGGGGCGUGCAGUGGGUACGGGCAGACUAGAGUGCGGUAGGGGAGACUGGAAUUCCUGGUGUAGCGGUGGAAUGCGCAGAUAUCAGGAGGAACACCGAUGGCGAAGGCAGGUCUCUGGGCCGUUACUGACGCUGAGGAGCGAAAGCAUGGGGAGCGAACAGGAUUA
rnacentral:rRNA from 1 species